rnacentral:misc_RNA from 1 species
GUGAAUCAUCGAAUCUUUGAACGCACAUUGCGCCCUUUGGUAUUCCGAAGGGCAUGCCUGUUCGAGCGUCAUUAUCACCCCUCAAGCCCCGUGCUUGGUGUUGGAGCGCCGGUCGGCUCACCCCGACUCCUCUCAAUGAUAACGACGGCGGCCUGUGGUUCCCCCGGUACACUGAGCUUUCGGGCACGUAUUGGACAAGGGCACCCGGGUCACGGUCUUCUCUUCCUCGGAAGAAACUUCUAAGGUUGACCUCGGAUCAGGUAGGAAUACGCGCUGAACUUAAGCAUAUCAAUAAGCGGA